UACGAAGGGGGCUAGCGUUGUUCGGAUUUACUGGGCGUAAAGCGCACGUUAGGCGGAUCGUUAAGUCGGGGGUGAAAUCCUGGAGCUCAACUCCAGAACUGCCUUCGAUACUGGCAAUCUCGAGUCCGGAAGAGGUUGGUGGAACAGCUAGUGUAGAGGUGAAAUUCGUAGAUAUUCGCAAGAACACCAGUGGCGAAGGCGGCCAACUGGUCCGGUACUGACGCUGAGGUGCGAAAGCGUGGGGAGCAAACAGG
rnacentral:rRNA from 1 species